GGAGGUACAUGAGCCUCAGGACCCACACCACCAGGUUCAGGGACAGUUAUUACCCUUCAACCAUCAGGAAGGAGGUACAGGAGCCUCAGGACCCACACCACCAGGUUCAGGAACAGUUAUUACCCUUCAACCAUCAGGAAGGAGGUACAGGAGCCUCAGGACCCACACCACCAGGUUCAGGAACAGUUAUUACCCCUCAACCAUCAGGAAGGAAGUACAGGAGCCUCAGGAACCACACCACCAGGUUAAGGGACAGUUAUCACCCCUCAACCAUCAGGAAGGAGGUACAGGAGCCUCAGGACCCACAACACCAGGUUCAGGGACAGUUAUUACCCCUCAACCAUCAGGAAGGCGGUACAGGAGCCUCAGAACCCACACCACCAGGUUCAGGAACAGUUAUCACCCCUCAACCAUCAGGAAGGAGGUACAGGAGCCUCAGGACCCACACCACCAGGUUCAGGAACAGUUAUCACCCCUCAACCAUCAGGAAGGAGGUACAUGAGCCUCAGGACCCACACCACCAGGUUCAGGAACAGUUAUCACCCUUCAACCAUCAGGAAGGAGGUACAGGAGCCUCAGGACCCACACCACCAGGUUCAGGAACAGUUAUUACCCUUCAACCAUCAGGAAGGAUGGUACAGGAGCCUCAGGAGCCACACCACCAGGUUCAGGGACAGUUAUUACCCUUCAACCAUCAGGAAGGAGGUACAGGAGCCUCAGGACCCACACCACCAGGUUCAGGAACAGUUAUUACCCUUCAACCAUCAGGAAGGAGGUACAGGAGCCUCAGGACCCACACCACCAGGUUCAGGAACAGUUAUUACCCCUCAACCAUCAGGAAGGAAGUACAGGAGCCUCAGGAACCACACCACCAGGUUAAGGGACAGUUAUCACCCCUCAACCAUCAGGAAGGAGGUACAGGAGCCUCAGGACCCACAACACCAGGUUCAGGGACAGUUAUUACCCCUCAACCAUCAGGAAGGCGGUACAGGAGCCUCAGAACCCACACCACCAGGUUCAGGAACAGUUAUCACCCCUCAACCAUCAGGAAGGAGGUACAGGAGCCUCAGGACCCACACCACCAGGUUCAGGAACAGUUAUCACCCCUCAACCAUCAGGAAGGAGGUACAUGAGCCUCAGGACCCACACCACCAGGUUCAGGGACAGUUAUCACCCUUCAACCAUCAGGAAGGAGGUACAGGAGCCUCAGGACCCACACCACCAGGUUCAGGAACAGUUAUUACCCUUCAACCAUCAGGAAGGAUGGUACAGGAGCCUCAGGAGCCACACCACCAGGUUCAGGGACAGUUAUUACCCCUCAACCAUCAGGAAGGAGGUACAGGAGCCUCAGGACCCACACCACCAGGUUCAGGGACAGUUAUCACCCCUCGACCAUCAGGAAGGAGGUACCGGAGGGGAUAACUUCACCGAACUGUUCCCACAAUCUCUGGACUCACUUUCAAGGCCUGUUCAUCUCAUGUUCUCCAUAUUUAAUACUCGCUUACUUAUUAUUACUUUUUUCUCUUUCUUCUUUUAUUUUUUACAGCUUGUUGUUGUUUGUCUGGACAACACACACAAAAUGCCGGUGGAACGCAGCAGGCCAGGCAGCGUCUUCAGGGAGAAGCACCGUCGACGAUUCGGGCCGAGACCCUUCGUCAGGACUCAAAACAGAUUCAAUAUCCAACAACACACACACAAUGCUGGUGGAACACAGCAGGCCAGGCAGCGUCUACAGGGAGAAGCUCUGUCGACGAUUCGGGCCGAGACCCUUCGUCAGGACUCAAAACAGGUUCAAUAUCCAACAACACACACACAAUGCUGGUGGAACGCAGCAGGCCAGGCAGCGUCUACAGGGAGAAGCUCUGUCGACGAUUCGGGCCGAGACCCUUCGUCAGGACUCAAAACAGAUUCAAUAUCCAACAACACACACACAAUGCUGGUGGAACACAGCAGGCCAGGCAGCGUCUACAGGGAGAAGCUCUGUCGACGAUUCGGGCCGAGACCCUUCGUCAGGACUCAAAACAGGUUCAAUAUCCAACAACACACACACAAUGCUGGUUCAAUACCGCCCCCUGCUGACCGGGAGGAUUCAGGAGAGUGGUCCCAACAUCUAAAACAGGUUCAAUACCGCCCCCUGCUGACCGGGAGGAUUCAGGAGAGUGGUCCCAACAUCUAAAACAGGUUCAAUACCGCCCCCCCUGCUGACCGGGAGGAUUCAGGAGAGUGGUCCCAACAUCUAAAACAGGUUCAAUACCGCCCCCUGCUGACCGGGAGGAUUCAGGAGAGUGGUCCCAACAUCUAAAACAGGUUCAAUACCGCCCCCUGCUGACCGGGAGGAUUCAGGAGAGUGGUCCCAACAUCUAAAACAGGUUCAAUACCACCCCCUGCUGACCGGGAGGAUUCAGGAGAGUGGUCCCAACAUCUAAAACAGGUUCAAUACCGCCCCCUGCUGACCGGGAGGAUUCAGGAGAGUGGUCCCAACAUCUAAAACAGGUUCAAUACCGCCCCCUGCUGACCGGGAGGAUUCAGGAGAGUGGUCCCAACAUCUAAAACAGGUUCAAUACCGCCCCCUGCUGACCAGGAGUGUGAGGAGGAUUCAGGAGAGUGGUCCCAACAUCUAAAACAGGUUCAAUACCGCCCCCUGCUGACCGGGAGGAUUCAGGAGAGUGGUCCCAACAUCUAAAACAGGUUCAAUACCGCCCCCUGCUGACCAGGAGUGUGAGGAGGAUUCAGGAGAGUGGUCCCAACAUCUAAAACAGGUUCAAUACCGCCCCCUGCUGACCGGGAGUGUGAGGAGGAUUCAGGAGAGUGGUCCCAACAUCUAAAACAGGUUCAAUACCGCCCCCUGCUGACCGGGAGGAUUCAGGAGAGUGGUCCCAACAUCUAAAACAGGUUCAAUACCGCCCCCUGCUGACCGGGAGGAUUCAGGAGAGUGGUCCCAACAUCUAAAACAGGUUCAAUACCGCCCCCUGCUGACUGGGAGGAUUCAGGAGAGUGGUCCCAACAUAUAAAACAGGUUCAAUACCACCCCCUGCUGACCGGGAGGAUUCAGGAGAGUGGUCCCAACAUCUAAAACAGGUUCAAUACCGCCCCCUGCUGACCGUGACUGUGAGGAGGAUUAACAACACACAGCGGGCCAGGCAGCGUCUGUAGGGAGAAGCACUGUCGACGUUCCGGGCCGAGGCCCUCCGGAGGGUGCUGCCUGGCCUGCCGCGUCCCACCGGCAUCUUGCACUAGAAAAACUUAAAAGGAAAUUGCCAAACGAUGGACGGCUGUUGGCUCUCACGCAGGAGGACUUAAAACUGAAACAAAACAAAUACUGGACCGUACGGCGGCAACCGACAGGGAGUUCACGGACAGAUUGACCCGGCUGACGAUGAACAUUGACGAUGAACUCUGUUGCAUUAAUAAAGCACCUUGUUAAAUGUGUAAAACAUGUCUGCAUCAGUGUUAUCUUGUAUUUCCAUACAAUGUUACAUUGGGCUGUUACACAUCUAUUGUCAGAGAAGUACUUGCAGAAAUAGGUAAACCACCUUCAUACGAGCAAGGACAGAAAACAGGGCAAAGCGAGUAUACUUAUUUACUCAGUAAGUUAUGGGUCAAGGUAUUUGGUGAGUACAUUUCUAACUCUUCUGGCUUCAGUCUCGUUGCCGUCUGUUCUGAAAUUGUUAGGUUGCGUUGAAGAAAACAAUGAAGUGACGCGCUGCUGUCUGACAGCAUUUUCCGAUUUCUCCGGUUACCCCGUCCGCACUGAUCUGCCCGAGCGGCGUUUUCAAAAUUACACACCCUGCAGCGCGUUUCUGAAAAGCUCCAGUUUCGGGGGACGAAAACGCCGUUUCAGUGUGGACAGAGCGUGAAAACAAAGAGAAAAAGCUUUAUCCGACGUAGUGCGGACGCAACCUUAUCGUCUACCUGUGCUACAGCAAUUAACACUUCAUUUGGGCAAUACACACAGACAACCCUGGAGGAACUCAGCAGGCCGGGCAGCGUGGAUGGGAAAAGAGUAAACAGUUGUCGUUUCGGGCCGGGACCCUUUGGUAGGUCUGGAGAUAAAAUAAACCUGAGGAGUAGGUUUAAAAGGUGGGGAGGGAACACCAGGUGAGAGGGGAAACAAGGUGGGGUGGGGGAGUUGACUGGUGAAAGAGAUACGGAGCUGAAGAAGUGGGCCGUGGAAGAAAGAGAAGUUGGGAGGGGCAGCGGGGGGGGCAAUGGGCAGGCAGAGUGAGAGAGGGAAACGGUGAAGGGGAGAGCACGUCACUGCGCACUGCGUUCUGAUUUGCCUCGUUCCACCUCUACGGACUGUGCUCAAGUAGUGCACAAGGUGCAAGAUUCAAAACUCGUUCGAUGUCAUUUCCAGCAGACACGCGUAAAGGAGAUUGAGAUGACUGUCACUCCGGAUCCGAUGCAGAACAAAACAAAACGCGGUAAGACAAAGACCACAGUAAUAAAAAACACAAUUAAUAUAAAUAUGUAAGGUAACUUAUAACCAUAUAACAACUGCAGCACGGAAACAGGCAGUCUCGGCCCUUCUAGUCCGUGCCGAACGCUCACUCUCACCUAGUCCCACUGACCCGCACUCAGCCCAUAACCCUCCAUUCCUUUCCUGUCCAUAUACCCAUCCAAUUUUACUUUAAAUGACAAUACCGACCCUGCCUCUACCACUUCUACUGGAAGCUCGUUCCACACAGUUACCACUCUCUGAGUAAAGAAGUUCCCCCUCGUGUUACUCCUAAACUUUUGUCCCCGAACUCUCAACUCAUGUCCUCUUGUUUGAAUCUCCCCUACUCUCAAUGGAAAAAGCCUAUCCACGUCAACUCUAUCUAUCCCCCUCAUCAUUUUAAAUACCUCUAUCAAGUCCCCCCACUCAACCUUCUACGCAAAAAAGAAUAAAGACCUAACUUUUUCAACCUUUCCCAUGAAUGUAAGUGCUGAAACCCAGGUAACAUUCUGGUAAAUCUCCUCUGUACUCUCUCUAUUUUGUUGACAUCUUUCCUAUAAUUCGGUGACCAGAACUGUACACUAUACUCCAAAUGGGGCCUCCCCAAGUACACAGAAACACACACAGAUUGAUUGUCUGUCCAUAAAGUGACUCUGGGCACAGGAGUGUCUGUACAGAAGGUGACUCUGACAGUAAAUGAUAAAGUAGUGGUGGUUAAGGGCACUGUUCUUUCUAAUUUGCAAUGACCUGAGCACGCAGAAAACAUUGCGCUGUGCAAUAAUCUUCUUUCUGCCCAGCUACAUGCGCGCCCUGGAUAAUCUCGUCAAUAAAAUCAUUGUAAGUAAGCCAGUUCCGAGCCCUGCAGGCAACCCAUCGCAAACUCCACGCCGUCAACAUCAUCAGAAGCCAGUAUGGCUGCGUACAAUCGUUAACGUGCCGACGAGGUAGAGGGUGACGACCUUUUCUACGCGGUUUGUGAUCCUUUACGCACCGACCAAAGAAGCG